rnacentral:lncRNA from 1 species
AUGGGCCGAGGUUGCAUCACGGGGGCCAUCCACGGUCCCAUGUCCUUUGUGUCCGGAAUUCUAAUUUCGGCCACUUUGACGUCCGAUGGACACUGGCCCACGUAUAAAAGCGCCCGGUUACUCAUCAUCUCCAAUCACUUGUCUGUGCUCGCUUCACUGGAUUACUCCACCUACAACAACCCAUCAAUCACCAUGAAAUUCCAAGUCGCGUUGGUGUUCGCCCUUUUCGCUAUCUUCUCCGUCUUCGCAGCAGAGACGAGGGAACAAGCCCGGGAUAAGCGAGGCGUUCUGGCUGCCUACCCAUACGCCUAUUCCUACCCAUACGCCGCCUACGCACCUGCAGCUAGCUACGCCUAUGCACCAACCGCCGCCUACGUAGCCGCCCCGGCCGCCUAUCGCGCUAGCUAUGUCGCACCUGCAGCUUACGCUGCUUACCCUGCUUACUACUGAGCAGCCUAGUAAAAAUGUUCAACAAAACUCCGAUUCGGGUCUUUCGACCUUUACUCUUGGAGUAUGUGCAAUCUACCCCCCCCCCCCUCCUUCUCUCCCAGCCAUAGUUACAGGUGAGAGUAUCCUAUCCUGCCUGUACAACCCCUAUUCCCCGGUGAAAAAGAUGCUUCAACAUGGGAUGCACCUUUUUUUAUCCUUUUAAGUUUUGCCAAUCUUGAGUGCCUUUUCUCCAAUGUACCAUAUCUUCAUGAAAUCAGCCUAUCGUUUGCCCCUCGAGUCUCCGGUUCAUUUUUACUCAUUGAUAGGUAGCCAGUCACUGAAAAAUUUCAACAUCUCUUGAUUUCAGUAUCAUUUGUCCCCUAGAAUAUACUAGUAAAGUCACAAUUAUAGGAAACAAGCUAUUUUCUUUCCUCCACAUUUUUUCGAUCUCUUAUUUAGCCAUCAAAUCUGGCCAUUCUAUGAUUUCGAUCUUUCGCUCUCUCUCUCUUGUUGCAGAGGGCUAAAGUGUGCCCUUUUUGCUGUCAAGUUUGGUUUAUUGUGUUCUUUGAUUGGCAAAGUUAUUCGAAAUCCUCGGUCAGACUUGUCAAAAAAAGAACAUUGUUUUCCUCACACUGGCAGUGAAAAAAUUUCAAGGAGUGUUUCUGAAAACUGUGCUAUUUUAGAAGGGAGCAGGUUUUCUACGAAAAUUACUCUUUUUUUGAAAUAGUAUGGUUUUGAUUAUUUUUUCCGGUACAGAGUGAAGAAAGCCCAAAUUUACGGCUUGGGUUCAAACUGACUACGUUCUUCAUUGCAAUAUUUUUAGUGAGACAUUUUCUAAAAUGUAACUUACAAGAGACCGAUUGAAAUUUGGAGGAGAAUUGAAUUAGCUAUAAAACAUGUGAUCAAAGAAUCUCGUAUUUUUAUUUUUAUGACCAAAUGUUACCAGUGUUAAAUAUUUGUUUUUCUGAAUUGUGUUAAAAUUUAAAAAAAAAUAAAAAUGUAAAUAAUUGUAUUCAGCACAAAUGUAGUAAUUUCUGACUUACCUACUUGAUCCAAUUUCAAAACUUAAGAAUCAAUGAGGAAUAAUGAUAAAAUCAACCAUGUACGAAAGAUAAACUAGUGUCACAAAGUCCUUUACAAAAGAAUAGUUGCUUCAUAACGCGCGAAAAAUUUUCAGGUUUUGAAAAUUAUUCUUAUCAUUCCUUUUUUAAAGAACUUAAAGUAAACAAAGACUGGGAAAAAUGAACCCAAAAAAUUACAAAGCUGCUGCUCAGAUUGUUCGGCUUUUUCUGUCUUGCAAAAGAGGCUUAUAAAUUAGUCAGUUCUUAUUUCUACAAUUAAAUACGAAAUUGAAAUAGAAAAGUUAUUUUUGCGAUAAUGCAUUCCGUCGCAGCUUUCACAUAAUUUGGAUUUAUUUUUGCCAAAAGGAACUAUAUCUCACGCGAACCCUAUGCAUUUAGUUUCUUUUAGCAUAAAUACGUCCAUUUAUGCCUCUGCAGACAAAAUUGAACCAUAUUUCCAGAGUUGGCGCAUUUUGCAGUUCCUCUCUGCUGAACUUGUUACCGAUUUUACUCUCAAAAAUAAUGUAGGGUCUUCCAAAAAUUCUAUAAUUGUUGAAAACGUUUGAUUAAACUAAAAUCUUGAACUUAGUUUUUGAGGCCGGUUUAAAAAAAAUCCAGCAUUAAGAAUAAGUCAUCAUUUUUGACACUAAAGUAAUGCCAACUAAAUUAUUCAGUUUCAUAUGAUCUGCAUAAGAUUGAGAUACCGGUGCUGAACAAAGUCAUCUCAGUUAGUGGAUUUGCAGCUUUUUUGAUUUAUUUAAUAUUUUUAAAGAAAAUCAGUCUCAAGCGUACCUUGAAACUACCGUACGCAUUAUAUUCAUUUUCUUCAAGGAGCAUCUUCCAAAAUUUCACCUCAAAUUAUAUUUUCGAAAAUGCAAUUAAGUAGGAAUUUCAGGGUUUGUCGCUGAGAAUAUAUAUUUUAAUAAUUGAUCAUUAGGAUAUUAAAGAGUAUCUAUAACGAAUUUUUUCCAUUUUUAGGGCGCGUUUUUAAAUGAAAGACAAGAACCACCACUACGUUGGACUGACACAUAAGAUUAUUUCUUUAAACUGCAAUCAUCAUCUGAAACUAUUUGUUUACGUAAAGAAUUGAUUUAAAACGUGUAGCAGCAUUAAUACCGAGUAAUAUGGAAUCAAAUCUGUGAAAAUUGAUGAAAUUUCACUUGGAAAAUUAGGAAAACUGAUAUUACUCGCUGACUCAGUGUGAAAGAGAGUUAUAUUAUACAGGUAUCUCUCUUUUACCCAUUAUGCCAAUAAAAGACAUUUCCGUUUCCCUAAUUUUUGACGAAUUCUUCACAAAUUUGAUAUCAUUAAACUCAGUAUUAAUAUUGUGCAUGUUAUGGACCAGUUUCUACCAUGAAUUCUUAGAUUACAAUUAUUAUUGCUUGUCAAUGAUACUAACUGUGCAGCAGCGCAAUGCAAAGGCUGGUCUUGUACCAAGAUCACCUAGAUCUUAAGUCAUGGCUGAAGAUUAUACGGACGUAUUUAUGCUAAAAGGAAGCAGAGACUUGUGAGAGAAAUGGGGUACUCGUACUGAGCUGCAUAAGAAACAAUUUAAGAGUGGGGGUGAUUCCUUUUGGCAAAAUGGAAAAGUGGGAUUUGUCAUCAAAUUAAGAGAAGCUAAGCGCCAAAAUAUGCUAACUCUUAAGCCGUGGGCACAUGACAAGAUCGUUUUGAAUAGGGCGCAUGAGUUUAGGAGCGUUCCCGUCCCGUGUUGGUCCCUAAUCCCCAUCGUUGACGCCGACGUCACAGGCGCUUUAUAAUUCCCAUCCAUUCUCACGGUCCUCAACUAACGAGCACACUCCUUCUUUUCCACCCGUCAUUCGUUCCUUUUAGCAUACAUCGUCACCUUCCGGCCAAGGUAUCACAAGCGCCAUGCUACGUUUCAAAAAUCCCGCCGCCACAAUUUUAUUUUUUACAGAAAAAUUGUUCAACGAAGCAGUCCGAAAAUUUCACUGAAUUUUCUUUGCGCUGCCGAUACUGAAAUUUUCAAACAGGUUCAACCAACAAUUUUUCUGUAAUAAAUUAAAAUGGCGGCGAAAAUUUUGAAACGUCGCAUUGCGCUUGUGAUACUUUGCGGAAGGUGACGCAAGAUGUCCACAUCUAAGAUGUCGAGACGCGUUCCGAUGAUAAAAUCAUGGUGCAAAAGAGUACGGUUUGAUUCCAAUUUUUGGUUUUAAUUUUCGGAUCACUUAGAUUCACUUCAAUGUUCUCUGUAGAGCUAGAACCUGACAACUAGGGAGACUGCUGUGAGGAAAUUAGAUUACUACGACAGGUAGAAAGCCACCGGAGCACGCUUUGAUCCUCUCGUCAUGGUGGAAUAUUCGCUUGCUGUGGUCAGAGCGCGACGCGGAAAGCCGAGGAAUGCAAAAUAUUGAGAACAGGAUAUUGAAUUUGGAAGAUGUCUGACCGGUCCGGUCCGAGUCGCAACUCGGGGUUUAUUUUUGAUCUUCCCUUAGCUUUAAAACUUCGAUCGACAACGCGGCUAUCUUGGGCGAGGCGAGGGUUGAAUCUUUCUCGAUGCACUUUCAAGGUAAUUUAUCGUCAUUCCUGCUGGAAAAACAGCAGUCUUCCGCGUGGCCUUUUGAACGCUCCGUGCAGGAAAAUACUAAAAAAAUAUUUGUGACUGUCCACCGAGAGAGACUUUGGUCUACAAAAACUUGAAAGUUGGUUACCACUACUACAUCAAAGCUUAAAAAAUUGUUCAACACACUUUUUGAAAUAGAAAACGAUAUAAAUGUCAAACCAAAGAACGAUGAUGGUUCGAGGUUUUGAUUUUGGAGUUGACAAGUCGCUUUUGGGGAGAAAAAAGUUGGAACGUCAAAUAUUGCCAAAAGGAGGAUCCCAGGAGAAUGUCUUGAUGAGAAUGAACGUUGUAUUUGUCAAAGUUGUAUGUGAGAAGCAACAAACUGACAUCACUGGCACGUGUGUAGCUUGAUAAAUUGAAAAUAUUGAAAACUAUCAAUUAAACUAUGGUUAUCGCAUUCCUACCAACAGGGGUCACGACAAAGAUUUAGCGAUGAAUCUUAUACUGUUUACACAAUUGCUAUAACAGUGACCAGGAAUCUGAUUUUCAAGUAAUUUUAAUGUAUUCAUUGAAUUUUGAUCAAAAUUUAUUUUAGACGAUAACAGUUAUGUCUGCUUGCGGAGCAAAGAAACGAGAAAUAGCUCUUUCCCUCUUCUCAUGGGAAUGAAACUAAUUUUAAUGAUGGCAUUUUGUUGUCGUUCUUAUAUCAAUUAACAUCAAUCAGCAUGGCACCGUAGCUAAUCAAUCUAUCACUCUAAAUCUCAGUGUGAUUAGCAUCAAUCAGUGCUGUCGUUAUCUUGAUCGCCAAAGGGGUUUUAGUGCACCCCCUAGCCCCUGUCCCAUCUAAAUAGCGCAUCUCUGACUUUAAGUCCCCCAAAAUAUCAAGUAAAAUUCACACUAUAUAAAACAAUCCAUACCAAACUCAACGACCAACAUUCUUUUUUGUGCUCCAAUUUGAAUCCUUAUAGCCUCUAAGCAACCCGACCAAACACCAUCAUGAAAUUCCAA